rnacentral:lncRNA from 1 species
UUUGCCUCCUAGGCUUUCCAGUGACACUUCGCAUUAACGCGGGACGCGGCAGCGCUUGUGAAGAUAUAUCGCACACCUUUUACAUUAGGUUAGUCUAAAUAUUUACUUUGUAUGCUGAGCCACGGCGACUAAAGGACUGCUUUCCGUUUUCGGAGUUCGCAUCGGGUUAUGAAACCUCUGAACGAGCUUAGCCUAGGGUAACACGUCCUGCUGUGAUAGGGUCAUGAAAAUAGCUGUUUGGCAUCCGUUACGGCAUUCGUGAUGACGACAAUAGCAGUAAUGUGUGACCGACGCGCCCGACUAAAUACUCCACCUACGUGGCAGCUCUAGGCUUUAAGGGAUGUGAUUUGGGUUUGAAACAGGUAAGAUUUCUGGAAUAACUUGGAGGCUCGCUUUGGGAAAACGCAUGUCCCUUUCGUACUUUCGUUGAGUACGUGGCCAUCGCUCUGAAGAAGUCUGCCCAGGCGACCAGUAGGGCUUGUUCGCAAAUUAUGGCCUCAAAGUUUUGCAAUCUGUUUGGAACGGGAAGUUGGGAGAGACCUUCAACUGUCAGUUCCUACCCGGCUCCAAACCAGUUACAGGAAAGCUUCAAGAGCUAACCUGUCCUGGAAAACGUUUAGGAAGGAGGUAGCUUCUAGAUGGUCAGAUUAUAUUAAAUAAUCAUGAUUGGGUGUUUCUGGUGAAGCAGCUGACUGCGUUUAUUGCGGCUUCGUAGGGUGACCGGCCAUACGGUGGCGAUUGUGGCUGGCUUGCCGUGCAUAACAUCCCGAAGGAGAAUGGUAGUGUGCACGCCGUAGUCUGGAGGAAAUACGGCGCCGGUGCGUGUGCGUUUGUGGAAGUGUAACACGGGGUCUGGAA